GACAGGUCCCAGGCAAGUCCAGAAUCCAGCAAGGGAAAUUCCAUUGGACUUUAAGGCUGAGAUGAGAAAGGUCUUGAAAAAUAGUCAAAGAAUGGCUUUUCCUGGCUAAGUACCUGGAUAGGCAAGAAAUGAAAUAUUUCAGGGUGCUUGUCUCAUGGUGGCUAUAUAGUUACCUUGUCUGACAGCACAUUCUCUAAGAAUUGAUCAUCAUAUUGGCAUUACAAAGGGGGAUACGGUACAGCAGACCCAGGAGUUAAAACGAUCCAAGUGUGUCUUGGGAGAAAAAAAUUAGAGAACCUGAGGAUGAAACUGUGGAAUUUCCUGAAUGAAUGAAUGAAUGAAUGUGAAUACAGGAAACCUUAACAGGAUUGUGAGGGAGUGUAAACUGUUUAAUUAUGAUGGUGGGAGGUUAGUUGUAAAAUGAUGACUCUCAACUCCUCUCAUUUUGAAGGCAUUUUAAACUAUUCUUAAUAAACACUAGGAGGCAGGGAAUAAAGAUAAUUCAGACCACUCUCCGUUUAGAGACAGUCUAUCUACAUCCUUAAAUGGAUGGCUUCUGUUAUCCUCUUUUCAGGGCUCUGACGAAAAGAAACUCGAGGGCAAUUCAGUUACCUGAAUGAAAUACGGCGCCAGGUGCCCGGUAGAUUCGCCUAGCACAGCGCAGGGACUGCAUGAGGACAUUAACUUCUGCUCCUGGCCUCUCUCCCGUCCUGCUAUAAUCUCCACAGCAAAUGACCUACAGUGGCGAGGGCUUCUGAGAUACUCGUGUGGGUAGCCAUAGUGUCUCAGAUCAAAUUACUACCACGUUUCUUCGUAAAGCUGAAGGCAAGAGGUAAAUUCAACUUCACUUUCGAGAAAGGCUGCCCACUGUAUCCGCCACUCGAGUGACAACACCAAGUACUCCCCUCAGCGGUGGCCCUCGUCUGAUAUCGGCAACCCGCCGCGAAAGGGGAGGUGAGCAACGGUAAGGUUUGGGAAAGAGGCUCCUCCGCUCCUCCGGCGGUCCACUUCCUACGGCGGGAAGGAGACAGGGUGUCUCUGCCCUCUCGCCGGAUCCGCCCAGGCGCUCCCCUUUCGUGUCCUCAGGACUGUGCGUACGCUCCGCGCCUUCGACUUGGCUGAGCGCCGAGUUGCCACCGCAGCUCCGAGUCAGCCGGCUUCCCGGCUCUGACCUGGCGUGCUUUGAGAAACGCGGGGAGGCUGUGGGCCCGGCAAUCUGUUCCUAGGCCGGGAGCCCAGUCGCGCGGCAGGACUGGGGGCGGGGCUGGGCGGGGCCAAGGGGGUGAGGCGUGAUGACGCCACGGGCGCCUUGCCCACGUGGUGUCUGCGCCGGCGGCGGUUGUGGUAGUUGGGCGGGUGGUAGAGAUCGCAACGGCUGCAGCAUUCCCGGGGAGCGUGAGACGGCCACGGUGGCUGCAGCUCCGAAGUCGUGAGGGACCUCACGCUUCCCUCCUGUCGCUGGCGCUGAGCCUUCUGCCUCUCCUGCCCGGCUCCUCGCCCCCGGCCCCGUCUGGACUGGGAAGAGAGGCCCCGGGGAGGGGCGGAGCUGUAGGUGAGGCGCCAGGAGCCCCUCCCCCUCUGCUGCCCGAGCUAACCCUUGUUAAGUCUCACACUUGUCCUUAGACCCACUUAAAAUCAGGCCUCCCAUCUCAGGAUAUCUCUAAGUACCUGGUCCGGGAGGUCACAAAUGAGCGGGGAGGGGAAUAGCCUUUGACCAAGAGGAGCUCACUUUUCCCAUAGACGUUAGCCCUCUGUUAAUAUUGCAACUGGUAAGUAUAAAGUAGGAAAAAAUAUAGUUGAAAACAUUUGCGGGCUGGGUUUGUGGCUCAGUGAUAGAGUGCUUUCCUUGCACGUAUGAGGCACUGGGUUCAAUUCUCAGCAUCGCAAAUAAAGAAAUGAUUAAAAUAAAGGUCCAUCAAUAACUAAAAAAAAAAAUUUAAAAAUUUGCUCUAUAAUUUGUUGACCUUUAAAAAUAAAAUUUGAAUUCUUACACUUCAGGGAAAAUGGGUGCGGGUUUGAAAAUGAUACCUGCCAUAAAUGCAGCUGAAGUAAACAUACAUUAGUUCACAAAUUAAUGCUUUCAACAGAAUGAGUAAAUUAGGAAAAGUUUUAACCAGUUUCAUUCUAUAUUAUGUAGCGUGAUCAUCCAAAAUUUUAUACUUUUCUUGUACAGAGGGUAUGUAUUUGGGUGUUUUUUUUUAAACGGAAACAUUUUAGUUUUUAAUUUUUUAAAAAAGCAAGGUAUGCAAUUAACUUAAUAGGUUGAAAUUUUUAGCAUUAUACCCUUGCAUUUAUUUAAUUUAUUUAUUUACUUUAAAGAGAGAGAGAAUUUUUUUUAAUAUUUAUUUUUUAGUUAUUGGCGGACACAACAUCUUUUGUUUGUAUGUAGUGCUGAGGAUCCAACCCGGGCCGCUCGCAGGCUAGGCGAGCUCGCUACCACUUGAGGCACAUCCCCAGCCCCCAGCCCCCCAAAAGGGAAACAUUUUAAAUCCAACUGAUACUUUCUGUCACCAGUGGACUAAGAUUUUUUUUCUCAGUAAAAAUUUCCUUAAAUUAUGUGCUUAACAGAAAUUGAAUUAUUUUGUUACAAGACUGCUUCCACUUGAAAUGCUGUCACAAGUAACUUGGAAGGGAGAUAUCUUGUAAUGCUAUUCUUAGAUGUAAUAAUGCAUGAACUUAGUUUAUAAACUCUUGGACUAUGUAUUUGACACGUUAAAAAAUGCACAGUAUUAGUGUUGACCAUCUCUUAAUAGUUAACCUAUAAAUACUGUUCUAUAAUUUUCUUUCCUCAGAAACAAUUGGUCUAAGUAGUGCCACUUGGGUCCCAAGUGCCAGGGAAAGAAGGACACCCAAAGCAGCGGGUGCCAAUUGAGAAUCAGCAUCAUUUUCAGGUUGAUUAGUGUACAACUAUGUCUUCUCAUGCCUGACGGCCACAGUGUCACUCUGCAGGGCACACAUGCUGAUAAAAACUCAUCUCAGAUUUAUCUUAGUCUUUUCCCCCACAUCCUUGUCAACACUUAUUAUUGUUUGUAUUCUUAAUAACUGCCAUUCUGACUGAAGUGAGAUGAAAUCAGAGUAGUUUUAAUUUGCAUUUCUUUAAUAGCUAGAGAUACUGAACAUUUUUUUAUGUAUUUGUUGACUGAUUGUAUAUCGCCUUCUGAAAAGUGUAUGUUCAGUUCCUUGGCCCAUUUAUUAAUUGGGUUAUUUGCUUUUUUUUUCAGUUCUUUAUAUACCCUAGAGAUUAUUGCUUUGUCUGAUGUGCAAGUGGUAAAAAUUUGCUCCCAAGCUGUAGGCUCUCUUUACCUCACUGAUUGUUUCUUUUGCUGAGAAGAAGCUUUUUAGUUUGAAUAUAUCCCAUUUAUUAUUAUUGAUUUUGAUUCUUGCGCUAUAGGUGUCUUACUAAGGAAGUAGGAGCCCAAUCUGAUAUGAUGGAGAUUGGGGCCUACUUUUUCUUCUUUUGGACGCAGGGUCUCAGGUUUAAUUCCUAGGUCCUUGGUCCACUUUGAGUUGAGUUUUGUGCAUCAUGAGAGAUAGGGGUUUAAUUUCAUUUUGUUGCAUAUGGAUUUCUAGUUUUCCCAGCACCAUUUAUUGAGGAGCCUAUCUUUUCUCCAGUGUAUGUUUUUGGCUCAUACAUAAGGUAACUGUAAUUAUGUGAGUUAAUCUCUGUGUCCCCUAUUCUGUGUCAUUGGUCUACCAGUCUAUUUUGGUGCCAAUACCAUGCUGUUUUUGUUACUAUUGCUCUGUAGUAUAGUUUAAGGUCUGGUAUAGUAAUGCCACCUGCUUUGCUCUUCUUGUUAAGGAUUGCUUUAGCUACUCUGGAUCUCUUAUUUUUCCAGAUGAAUUUCAUAUGACUGCCUUUUCUAUUUCUAUGAGGAAUAUCAUUGGGAUUUUGAUUGGAAUUGCAUUAAUUCUGAAUAGUGUUUUUCAUAGUAUGAUCAUUUUGACAGUAUUAAUUCUGCUUAUCCAAGAACAAGGGAGAUCUUUCCAUCUUCUAAGGUCUUCUUUAAUUUCUUUCUUUAGUGUUCUGUAGUUUUCAUUGUAGAGAUCUUUCACCUAUUUUGUUAGGUUGAUUCCCAACUCAUAUAUGGCUGGUGGGACUGCAAAAUGGUGCAGCCAAUAUGGAAAGCAAUAUAGAGAUUCCUUGGAAAACUUGGAAUGGAACCACCAUUUGACCCAGCUAUUCUAUUCCUUGAUCUAUACCCAAAGGAUUUAAAAACAGCAUACUACAGGGACACAGCCACAUAAAUGUUUUUUGCAGCACAGUUCACAGUAGCUAAACUGUGGGACCAACCUAGAUGCCCGUCAGUAGAUGAAUGAAUAAAGAAAAUGUAGUGUAUAUAUAUACCCAUAUUACAUAUAUAUAUAUGUAAUAUGUACAUUUUAUAUAUACACACACACACACACAUAUAUAUACACACACACACAAUGGAAUAUUACUCAGCAAUAAAAGAGACUAAAAUGACAUUUGUAGGUAAAUGGAUAGAGUUAGAGAAUAUGAUGCUAAGUGAAGUUAGCCAGUCCCAAAAACCAAAUGCCGAAUGUUUUCUCUGAUAACAUAAGAGGAGGCUGAUGCAUAGUGGGGUUGGGAGGGGAAGCAUGGGAAGAUUAGAUGAAUUCUAGAUAGGACAAAGGGAAGGGAGGGGGCAAGGGUUGUAUAAAAGAUGGUGGAAUGAGAUGGACAUUUGUGAAAACACAAAUGGUGUGAAUAUACUUUGUACACAACCAGAGAGAUGCAAACUUGUGCUCUGUAUGUGCAAUAUGAAUUGUAAUGCAUUCUGCUGUCGUAUACAACAAAUUAGAAUAAAAGGUAAAAUUAUAAAUAAAUAUUUUAUACAUUAAAAGAUUUGUCUUAGUCAAUAUAAGAUUACUUUUUAAAUCAGGAAAUUUAUGAUAAAAAUACUUGACUCUGAUCACCAACCUGGUUUGUCUUUUUCCGCCCUUUUUGUGGUACUGGAAAAUAAGCCUAGGGGGAUUUUACCAUUCCUCCAUCUCAGAUUUUUCAUUUUUUAAGACAGGGUCUUGCUAAGUUAAAGUUAGCAAGGCUGACCUUAAACUUGCAAUUUAUUGCCUCAGUUUCCCAAGUAGCUGUGAUUACAAGUAUGUGCCACCAUACCUGGCUGGGAUCUGAUGUUUUAAAUAUGUUUUCUUUUUGAAGUUUCUCUUUUAAAAUAAAAUCUUUUUCCUGAAAGAAAUACCUUUCGAAGUUGGUCAGGAAGAGAUCCAAUUGUGUUAGUGUGUCUUCAGCUUUAUCAUGGACUGUAUCUUUGUUUUGUUUUUGCAGUGAUGGAGAUUGAUCCCAGGGACUGGAGCAUGCUAGCAAGUGCUCUUCUAUGAGCUGCACCCCCAGCCCAUGCACUGCAUCUCUAUGUUUUGUUUUUCAGGGUCCCAUUUUGGGAGGUAUGUUUGUGUUUUGUUGGACCUUGAUUGAUGUUGCUGGACAUCAGAGGACUGGAAAGUGAGAUUAAUGAAGAUUAUUUUUGUCCAUGGACUCUCCCAGUUGCUUGGGAUCAUUCUGUAUUCUAGAAGCUAUUUUGUUUUAUUGGUUUUAUUUGAAGGAGCAUUUACUGGCAUGCUAAGCAAGGGCUCCACAACUGAGCUACACCCCCAGUCCUUUUUAUUUUUUUAUUUUGAGAUAGGAUCUCACCUGCCCAGGCUGUCCUCAAACUUGUGAUUCUCCUGCUUCAGCCUUUCAAGUCACUGGGAUUACAAGCAAGCACUCCUGCACCCUGCCUAACUCCUCCCUUUCUUCUCCUUGAAGAUUCAAACCAGGGCCUUGCACAUGCUCCAUGUAGAACUGCUGUAUUGCCAAAAGCCAGGGAAGGUUUCAUGAGAAAAAUACCAGAACUAAAGAAUGUCAACUUAUUUCUUUUCUACUUACGUGCUAAUUCUGAACUCUCAUGAUCAUUAUGAAGCAGUAUGAAAGUGAGGACAACUUUCUGCAUCCCACAUCCUUUUAAAAACUGAAGGACUGUACCCAUCCCCAGCCUGGGGAACACCAGGGAAGAUGGGAGUGGAGAUUAUCCUCUGCCCCUGCCUGUGUAGCACAGGCUCACUAAACCUAUGUGAGUGUAUUUCCUGCUUUCUAUAAAUUGUAAGAGCUUCUGUGGGACUAGGGGGGGAAGGAUUGUAGCUGCUUCUCCCUAAUUUUACCGUAUUGCGUAAAUGUAUUUUUUUCUGUUUCCGUCCUAUUUUUUAUACAGGCAGGUGGUGGAAUCCAGCUAGCCAAGAUCUAGACAGGGUCUCUGGCCUAGGCUGUGAACAAUAGUUCCUGCCCUCUAGGAAAUAUUCUAGAUAGAAAUGCCCUGGUGACCUGAUUCAUGCAUUCCUAACUCAAAGUCAUCCUGAUUUCUCCUCUUGCCUGUGUUCUUGCCCCCAUGUCACAUCAAACGCAGCCCUGGGUUUGUAGUAGAAAACAGUAAAAUCAGAGACACAUUUGAGCCACAGCUGCCAUUAAUUUUCUCAGUCUUUGUGCUAAUUCCCUCAAUACUAUGAAACACUGCUGCCUUCUUGCUCUUUUCCCUAAAGGUGUGACACAUGGACAUUUGACUUUUCUAAUUUUGAGAGCUGUUAUAAAGAAAAGGUUUUAUAGGUAAGAAACUUCAUCCCUUCUGUUUCCUUUCUCUUUUUUUUUUUUAUAUAUUUAUUUAUUUAUUUUUCGGUGGACACAACAUCUUUGUUUGUAUGUGGUGCUGAGGAUCGAACCCGGGCCGCACGCAUGCCAGGCGAGCGCGCUACCACUUGAGCCACAUCCCCAGCCCCAUCCUUUCUCUUAAUUUAUGUCUUUUUACACGAAUUUCUGUUUUAUGAUAUGGUUAUAUUUAGCAAGAGGGCCAGAGGCUAUUGGCUCAGUAAUAGGAUCAGCUCUCAGCCCAUAAACAAAUCUUUACCCAGCAGAUCUCAUUUGAAGUCUCAGUAGUACGCUCUGUGUCAGAACUGAGACCUGGCAUUAUGACUAUCCUCCCAACUGUGAGAUCCAUGUAUUUAGGAGGUGUAUUUUUCAGAUUAGAAUGUCCUUUUCCUAAGGAAAAAAGCUACAUGGAUAGCCAUAAUUUUUGCAAAUAUUAUUUGAGCCUUUGCAACAUAUUGGAGCUUGUUCCAGUGCCCUCGUGUACCUUCAUGUGCCAUCAAUAGUUCUAAUGGCUAUUUCUGUCUAUUGCUUCCCACUUUAUUGAUUGUGGAAACCUUUUCAGAAAUUAUAACUUUUCUAAAGUCUACCACAUAAAAGGCACGAAAAUAAUUUGAAUUUUCUGACUCCAUAUUUAGUGCUUUUCCCAAAUUCUCACUGUUUUGUUUUUUUUUUUUUUUUAAUGCUGAAAAAUAGUCUCAACAGGCUCUCUGCACAUGGUUGUGUCAGUUGUAUAUAGCAAAAGGGCAGACUAGGGCAGGAGGCCACAUAUGGUAGGAUAUGUCCUGUACUCUGCUCACCCCAAUCUUUUUCUAAUUUCUAUAAAGGCACUGUAUAGUCUUCUCUGAGAACCAAGUAUGUCCCACCUCUGAAAAAUAAGGAAGGCAGGGGCUGGGGCUGGGGCUCAGUGGUAAAGCACUUGCCUAGGAUGGGUGAGGCACUGGGUUUGAUUCUCAGCACCACAUAAAAAUAAAGUUAUAAAAAAUUAUGUUUUUUAAAAAGUAAGGAAGAUAAUGUCCAGGGGCUUCUAAUUGUAGCUGAUGUCUUCCCCUUAGAUACUGUCUGAGAAGCUUUGUGGGUACAGGAUAGUUAUCACUGCUGGUAGUUUUUCAUUAGCUUUCUUGGUUAGUGAGUGUUUGUGCUUGUAAUCAUCACCAAGUACUGAGUAUAUGUGUCACCAUUAUACAUUUUUUUUCUCUUCUAGUUUUUGUCUUUUCUAUUCUUUCUCCCCUGCUGAGGUCAAAAGCCAGUGGUGUAGAUGUGGAGCAAGAUGGGAAAUACCUGUUGGCAUUGCUUGGCCUCUCCACACUCAGAUAUCAUGAUCAGUAGGAUUGACCAGGCAUUUCUUGCUCAGCUGACCCAUGACUUUCCAGUGUAAACUCUUCUCUUGCUAUAAAUGACAAAAUGUCAUCUCAAUUCUUACCUUGCUAAUAACAGUCUGACUCCCUGAAAUUCAGUUGUUGUUUUGUAGUUAUCUUCUUUAUCAAGAGGCUCCAUGGAGAGCUGGAAAUUGUAAAUGUUCCUAAAGUAUCAAUAUAUCCCAUCUUCCCUUUUCUACAUAAGACUAUUUAGCCCCCACUUAGCUUGUGUGUUCCCUGGUUCACUCCACCCAAAGUGGACUCAUGAAUAGGGUUCUCCCCUAUUGAUAUUUAUUCCACAGGAUCUAACCAGACAGCAGUUUCAUUGUAGCUCAGGUGGGAGUUGUUCUCAGUGAUGUAGUAAGGCCUUGUCAUAGUUGCAGAGUAGCAGCUGCUCAGAUGAUUCCACCUCCUAAGGGGACCUUUUAUAAUGGUAUUGCUCACCACAGUGGGUGUUCUUUGAAAGACUAGAAGAAACCAUGUUCAAUUUAAACAAAACUUUUUUGACAUUUUAAGGUUACUGGUUUGCUGCCUCUUUCCCCAGGAAAAGGAAGUUGAAGUACAUCUUCCCUGUGAAGAAUCUGGAUGGAGUUGUGCAUUUCUUUCUUUCUUUUUUUUAAGUGCAUUUGUUUCUGAUGAUUUCCAGAAAGAGAGUUGUAUUAUGCACAUAAGCUGUUGACCAGCACCAAAGGAAAAGAAAGAAUUGUUACAAUAGCAUUUUCCCUGCUGUUGUAAUCUUCCAUUUCUUUCUUCUUUCAGAUUUAAAAUUCAUCUUUCAAGAAGACUUUGGUUUGGGCAGCCUGCCCCCCAACCCCCUGUAGGAGGUCUCCCUCUUGAAAUGAGAAAAGGCUCUGUGCCCAGGUCCCAUCUUGCCACAGCUUGACUGCCUGUUGCUGGCCUGAUGAAGGUUAUAAGAAACAUCAUACCUUCACAGUCUCUCCAGAUGUAUUCAUUGUCAUAAACGUUGCACUUCAAGCCAGUUAUUUGAUUUAUGUCAUUAUACUUUGAAUCUACCUGAUAGUAAUUGUCAGGGAUGAUGGUAUGCACCCAGUAGCAGCCUUUAAGCCACCUGUAUAUAUAUUUGAAUUUCACAGUUUGGUGGUAAUCCUUUCUUCUUUUGAUACUUGGAGUUUCAGGCUAUUAAAAUUACAAUAAACUCUUGAGGUACUUUAGAUGCUCUUCUGCUUCAGUUUACAUGUUUUAUUACACUAUCUUGUUUGUGUUUACCAACAGGAUUACAAGAAUAUGUAAUGUCUGGCAAAGCAAAUAGGAAGUAAAGUAAAAGUAUCUUGCUCAGCUUAGCCUAUCACUGCUUCUUCCCCAAGUCAAGCAUGCCCUUUAAACUUUAAUGGUUAACAAUUACCCGGAGACCUGUUUUCAGGAAAAUGUAUAAUCAAUUCAUUUGAUGGAAACAUUUUUGACUAAGAUGAUAUGUUUUUAUCCUAGUUUUCCUUGAAGCUGUUAAGUAUUUGGAGAUAUAAAUUUGAAUAAAUAGAAUAUUUAUGCAGCUCAAUAUGAGUUUUAUAAAAGAUGGUCUAUGAGAUCAGGUAUUAUGACACACUUAGUAUAAAUUUGGUUAUGUCUUCUUUUAGAGCAAUUAAGUGAUGGCAAGUUUUCCUAAAUAGCAUAAGAGCUGGUUGAGUUGAUAUUUGGAGUUUAUUGUAAUUUCUUGCCAAUUUUGUUUCACACUUAGUAACAUAGGGAAAAAGAGAUGUUAUACAGGUCAAUUGUAAUAUGUGGAUUCUUCUCCAGGAUCGAAAGAGUCAAAGAGGAACCACUUGGUUUACCAUGGGUCUGAAGUACUUUUGAACUUUUAAAACCAUUUAAUUAAAGUGGUUUCAAUUAUUUUCCAAGUCAUUUUUGUGUCUUAUUCUGUUAAGAAAAAGUAGUUAAUGUUUUUGAUAGUUUAUCAGAAUUUGUCAGAUUUUUCUGGUUUUAUAAAUAAUUAUGCUGAUUUACUAGGAGGAGGUUGGGGGAUUUUAGAACAGUUGCUUUCAAGUAGUGAUGGAUUUGAAGCAUUUUUUGAAAAUAUCUUUAAGUUUUUGUAGGUUGAUGAGAUAAUGUACACUUGACUGUUAUGUGAUCAAACUUUUAUUGCUCUUCUGUUUAUUUACUGGUGAGUUUAGAUGAGUUUUCAACUCUAAACGAGGAUAAUACUACUCUCUCAUAGGGAUGUUUGUGGUCCAAUAAUUAGGGUCCAGCCAAAUAGUAGUGGUUGUCAUGUUAAUAUUUCAGUUUAGGAACUUACUGGUCAUUCAGGGAAUCCCUGAAAAGAGUAGACAGAGGUGCAUGUGUUCACUCGGGUGUUUGUUGUGAGCUAGCCAUUGGGCUGAACCCUUUAACUGCGAACUCAUUCUCCCAUUAGUCCUGUGAGAUAGGCGCUUUUCUCUUCUUCUAGCUACACAUGAGAAGAUGAAAUCACACAGGGGUUGCCAUUGCUGUUAAGUGGGAAGUCAGGAUUGAAAGCCAGACAGUCCAAUCUGGAGCCUGUGUCCCUAACUCUCCCUAUAGACUGCCUUACACUUGGGCAUGCCCAGGAGUCUCUAGGUGGAGUUCAAGUUCAGUCCUGCUCAGGGUUGAUUUUAAAAGCUGAUUGACCAGUCCAGUCCUGAGGAAAUCUCCCUGUCCCUGAUUCCUUGGCUCCCUAGUGGAUACAAUCCCCAAAGUGUUCUUGUGUGGGUUUAGUCCCUCAUUCACCCCUUAUUUCGCUUACCAUGGACACCCUUUGAACACACCAGUUGGUGUUCAUGGUGGGCCAUAGAUCAUGGCCAAAUGGGCUGGUGGUUUUAAAAAUACUACAUUCAAUAUAGGAGAAAAGGUGGACGGGUUCACUUCCUCUUGAAGGAGUGGAUUUGGGGGCUAAGAUGGGCAGGCCUCAGAGACCCGGUUAGUGGUUUUAGGAACUCUUAGUAGCAUUUUGCUUACUUUCUAUCCUUGGAGAUAUAAUCCCAAGAUAAAAUCACUUUCUAUAGUCGAUUUAUAAAAGAUUACCUUGCAAAAUAACUUUAUGUUAAAACCUACUGAUAGUCUCUAAUCUGUGGCUUAUGGUUAGGGUCAGAUGUUGAACAACCUGUACCUGCUAUUUAGAAAAAAGAAAAAAUCCUGGAGGCUGGGGAGGGAGAGAAUGAGUGUGUCAUUGCUAUCAGAGUUCACUUUUGGCUCUCCAUACCCAGUUUGUGUGAGGCAUGUUAUUAGGAUCUGAGGAUCCUAAUGUGUUUCUUCCAAAGCCAAAUUAAGUAAUUUUUAUCAACCCACUGCUAAUGUGUGAACUCCUUAGGAGUCCUAAUUGCUUAUUACUGCUUCUGUAUCAUUGUAUGUAGUAGAUGUUAAAUGAAUGUUGGUUAGAUCAGUAAAUGGAGACAUUUUGUUAAAUUAAUGAAAGAGUAUUAGUUUAGCUACUCUCUUAUUUCCAAUUUCUUAUUGGACUUUCAAAACACACCCAUAACCACCAACUAUCAGAGACAGUUUUUCAUCACUUUUCUGGCAUGUGUGAGGCACUGGGUUCGAUUCUCAGCACCACAUAUAAACAAACAAACAAACAAAUAAAUAAAUAAAGUUCCAUCUACAACAAACAUUUUAAAAAGAGGGGGUGGUGGAAUUGAGCUGUUACAUUUUGAACAACAGUAUGAAAAAGUGAAGUGCUUGUGACAGCAAAGGAAACAAUGAGCUCUGAUAAUUCCUAGUCUUCAUCACAACUGCCAUGGUCAUACGUUGCUGGAAUCUGUUUCUUCUAUCAGGCUUAGAGUCUGGGUGCCAGGUGAUUGCUGUGAAUGCAUUGAGCGAUUUUGGAUUUGGAAGUAUAGAGAGGUUGUUAAAAGAAGUGUUAGAAGGGUUUUUUUGUUUUUUUAAUUACUGUAGGUAGCACAAAUUCAAAACUGUACUGUCUUCCAAAAAUUCCUAAGGAGGAAAUCUUAUCUUCACACAGUUUGCUGUAAUUCUGCUGGAGUGAGCCGUAGUUGCUUAGUACAUUUGAAUACCUAAGAUUUCUUCAGUAACUUAUUGUCUAUAGUUUGCAGUUUAAUUUUGUUACCAGUCUCUGGACAAUAGUUUGUUUUUUUUUUCCAAGAAAGAUUAUUAUUUGUAAAUGUGUUCAGCCAUUGUGACAUGUGGCGCUUAUUAAACGUAAUAAGAGGAAGCCCUCAUGCACCAAGUGUGGAAGCUCUUUCCGGCUCUGCAGAGCCUGGUGAAUGGCACUUCCUUAUUUGUUUUGGGCUAUCUCUAUAGAGGGGCAUGGCCAGCUUCAUUUUGCUUAUGUGGUAGUUACUGAAAUAGCAGGAAAUGGUGUGAACCCUAAUGCACUGUUGAUCCCUCGAGGACCUGAGUCUGUGCAUUCCUGGUCCUAUGAAAUUGAGUGAAAUUGGUUGAAUUUUCUGAAAUUCCUGUUAGUGGAAAAACUACUACAGAAGUAUGUGGGACAAGAAAGAGAUUUUUAAGGGCACAGUAUGUAUAUUAAGUUGUGAGCUAAGUGAUUUACCAAAAUAUUGGUUCAUAAUGUUGGCAGUGUCUUCAGUGCUUCUUCUCAGUUUUUAAAAUUUUAUAUUGAGAUAAAGUAUCACAAUUUUAACCAUUUAAAAAUAGACAAUUUAGUGUAUUUUAGUAUAUUCACAAUGUUAUGCAACCAUAACUGCUGUGUAAUUCCUGAACAUGUUUAUGGUCCCCCAAAUAUACCCUGUACCUAUUAAGAACUCAUUCUCUUCCCUCCCCUGAAAAUUUGGCAACCACUAAUUUGUGUCUGGAUUUUCCUAUUCUGUAUAUUUUAUGCAAAUGAAUAACUUGAAAAAUAAAUAGUAUCUAACUCAUUCUUUGACUAAGUUCAGCUUAUUAAUGGCUCUGAUGUUCUCAUUAACCACCCCCAUGCUGUAAUUAAAUGGUUAUUAAGUAAACAUAAGAAUUUUACUUAAGUAGCAGGUAUUUUCUUUUUUCUGGACGAAGUCAUUUUUGAUAAUGAAAUCUCAGUCCUUGUCCCACACAACUAUCCAAUAAUGAGGACAAGGUUUUGAUAAAAAGGGAAAAGCUGGUGUGGUGGUGCACACCUGUAAUCUCAGUGACUCUGGAGGCUGAGGCAGGAGAAUUGCAAACUGGAGGACUGCCUUAGCAACUUAGUGAGAUCCUGUCUCAAAACAAAAAAUUAAAAGUUCUAGAGAUGUGACUCAGUGGUAGAGUAUCCCUGGGUUCAAUCCCUAGUACCCUCCCCACCCCCCCGCCCCCCCACCCCUACAGCUGUGCCCUUUUGGCAAUCAUUAUUCAUUUGUAGCCAUGAGAGAUAGCUGUUUCUUGGAUCUGCAAAUGUCAACCCUGAAGUCUGGAUUACUUUAUUCCUGUGGUCUGUGAGUCAAAGGACAGAUAACUUGUUUUAGGAUGUGAAGAAGGUUAAUCUUGCUUCUCCAUGGUUAGGGAAGGGGAAGGGGAAAGGGAAAAAAAAAACAUGUCAGUUUUAAAAUAAGCUGCAGUGGCAGAGCAGCAAGGGUUAUAUUCAAAGCUUGAGGUGGACACGAUGCACUUUAGCUCUGCAGCUAUGGUUUGCUCAGUUUAUCAUUGCGAACUCUUCUGGCUCAUCCUCUUCCCUCCUGUGUCUAUCUUUGGCCAAUCUGCUCUUCAGGUGAGAGGACCGAAAUUCAAGUCUAUGAAUUGUGCUUUUCUCCAGAAGCAGCACGCUGGGAAAAACACAUUGAAAUGGCAAGAAAGGGAGACUAGAAGAUAAACGUCUGCUCACCUUCCUAUUCAUGUGGCAACCUGAUGAAUUUGACUUAAGGGGGAUCAUUUCAGAUCAUCAGUCUUAUCAUCUUUGUAAGUACACAAUAUUUGGUUUGACUCC
rnacentral:lncRNA from 1 species